rnacentral:rRNA from 1 species
UAGGGAAUAUUGGACAAUGGGUGCAAGCCUGAUCCAGCCAUGCCGCGUGCAGGAAGAAGGCCUUCUGGGUCGUAAACUGCUUUUCUCUGGGGAUAAAAAGACCCUGCGGGGUAAAUUGAAGGUACCAGAGGAAUAAGCCACGGCUAACUACGUGCCAGCAGCCGCGGUAAUACGUAGGUGGCAAGCGUUGUCCGGAUUUAUUGGGUUUAAAGGGUGCGUAGGCGGUUCCAUAAGUCAGUGGUGAAAUACGGCAGCUCAACUGUCGAGGUGCCAUUGAUACUGCGGAACUUGAGUACUGAUGAGGUAGGCGGAAUUGACGGUGUAGCGGUGAAAUGCUUAGAUAUCGUCAAGAACACCGAUAGCGAAGGCAGCUUACCAAGCAGUAACUGACGCUGAGGCACGAAAGUGCGGGGAUCAAACAGGAUUAGAUACCCCGGUAGUCC